GUCCUACGGGGGGCAGCAGUGGGGAAUAUUGCACAAUGGGGGAAACCCUGAUGCAGCGACGCCGCGUGAGUGGAGAAGUAUUUCGGUAUGUAAAGCUCUAUCCGCAGGGAAGAAGAAAGACGGUACCUGACUAAGAAGCCCCGGCUAACUACGUGCCAGCAGCCGCGGUAAUACGUAGGGGGCAAGCGUUAUCCGGAUUUACUGGGUGUAAAGGGAGCGUAGACGGCUGUGCAAGUCUGAAGUGAAAGCCCAGGGCUCAACCC
rnacentral:rRNA from 1 species